rnacentral:rRNA from 1 species
GAUGAACGCUGGCGGCGUGCCUAAUACAUGCAAGUCGAGCGAACAGAUGAGGAGCUUGCUCCUCUGACGUUUGCGGCGGACGGGUGAGUAACACGUGGAUAACCUACCUAUAAGACUGGGAUAACUUCGGGAAACCGGAGCUAAUACCGGAUAAUAUAUUGAACCGUAUGGUUCAAUAGUAAAAUACGGUUUUGCUGUUACUAAUAGAUGGUUCCGUGCCGCAUUAGCUAGUUGGUAAGGUAACGGCUUACCAAGGCAACGAUGAGUAGCCGACCUGAGAGGGUGAUCGGCCACCCUGGAACUGAGACACGGUCCAGCCUCCUACGGGAGGCAGCAGUAGGGAAUCUUCCGCAAUGGGCGAAAGCCUGACGGAGCAACGCCGCGUGAGUGAUGAAGGUCUUCGGAUCGUAAAACUCUGUUAUUAGGGAAGAACAAAUGUGUAAGUAACUAUGCACGUCUUGACGGUACCUAAUCAGAAAGCCACGGCUAACUACGUG